rnacentral:rRNA from 1 species
GACAGAGGGUGCUAGCGUUGUUCGGAAUUACUGGGCGUAAAGGGCGCGUAGGCGGUCUGUUAAGUUCGGUGUGAAAUCCCCUGGCUCAACUGGGGAACUGCGCUGAAAACUGGCGGACUCGAGCCACUUAAGGGCAGACGGAACAAGCGGUGGAGCGGUGAAAUGCGUAGAGAUCGGGAAGAACAUCGGUGGCGAAGGCGCUCUACUGGACCACAACUGACACUCAGGGACGAAAGCUAGGGGAGCGAAUGGG